GGGGCCGUAGCUCAGUUGGGAGAGCGCCUGAAUCGCACUCAGGAGGUCAGGGGUUCAAGUCCCCUCGGCUCCA
rnacentral:tRNA from 2 species